AAAGUCUAAGGCCGGGGCCUCCUGCAGCCCUGAGUGAGCUCUCCCUGAGUGGGGAGGUGAGUUUUCAGAGAGCAGGGCUCCUUAGCUGGACAGACUAGGCAAGAGAGGCGCCAAGUGGACAGAUGUAUCUCUCACCAGAGCUUGGAACAGACUCCUGGUCAUUCACUUUGCUCAGUAAAUGGCUACCCUUCUUGCCAGGAGAA
ensembl:ribozyme Gm23984 predicted gene, 23984